rnacentral:rRNA from 1 species
CCUACGGGAGGCAGCAGUGAGGAAUAUUGGUCAAUGGACGAGAGUCUGAACCAGCCAAGUAGCGUGAAGGAUGACUGCCCUAUGGGUUGUAAACUUCUUUUAUAUGGGAAUAAAACGUUCCACGUGUGGGAUUUUGUAUGUACCAAAUGAAUAAGGAUCGGCUAACUCCGUGCCAGCAGCCGCGGUAAUACGGAGGAUCCGAGCGUUAUCCGGAUUUAUUGGGUUUAAAGGGAGCGUAGGUGGAUUGUUAAGUCAGUUGUGAAAGUUUGCGGCUCAACCGUAAAAUUGCAGUUGAAACUGGCAGUCUUGAGUACAGUAGAGGUGGGCGGAAUUCGUGGUGUAGCGGUGAAAUGCUUAGAUAUCACGAAGAACUCCGAUUGCGAAGGCAGUUCACUGGACUGCAACUGACACUGAGGCUCGAAAGUGUGGGUAUCAAACAGGAUUAGAUACCCCAGUAGUC